UUACGUGCCUGUGCGAAAAGUUUGCUGUUUGAUUUUUAUAAGCUUAAUUAUAUGUUUAUGAUAUAUAUAUGUGCAUGGAUCUAAUGGCGACAUCCAACUACUGUGCGGUUUUGUUUUAAUAUUGUGUGCAAAUGUAGAGUGGAUAUACCAGAAGAGGCGUGGCAGUCAUCUUUGCGGCGGUGCAAGAAGGAUCUCCUCGGGAGUGGUUGAUCACUUAUAGACGAGGUACUAGACAGUGUCACAGACUGGCUGCCAGGCUACCAGGACAAAAUGAACAAAUCUAGGUUCAUAUUGGUGAGUACUCCAUGAAUGGUGGAUAUCAAAUAUCACGUGUUAGUGAAACCGUACAUUUGAUUUACCGAAGUCUAGUCAAUGCCGUAAAUGGUCAAGGAACGAACAGGCGUGACGUAAGAAGACUGAACGGUAUCCAAUAGCGACACUGACGUCAUGCUCAAGGGGGCGUCAUCAAUGAGUUACGACCCCAUCGUUUAACGUCAAACCCCAACUUUGAUAUAGUGUAGGACACUGCCAUACCACAGUCUGUUUUAUAUAAAGAAAUUUCGUCAUA
rnacentral:lncRNA from 1 species